UUCGAACCUGCAGCAGGUUCGGGUCUCACGAAGUGAGACAACGGAGUCGUUUACGGCGAUGGCCCGAAGGGCGAGCGUAGCGAGUCAUCCUGCACGCCCCACCA
rnacentral:sRNA from 1 species